AGUAAAGGUGCACUCCCUCCCUUUUCUUGCAAAUCAAGUAUUUUUGCAGAAGAGGGAUGCAUUAACUCCCUUUCUUAUAAAUAAAGUUUGAAGAGAGGGAUGAUGCACUCAUUCCCUUUUCAAAGAGGGAGAAGGUGCAUUCAUUCCAUUUAUUGCAAUGAAAGAUUUUUUGCAGGGUCAAGGAUGCACUCCUUUUUUAUUUUUAUUUAUUUAUUUAUUUAAUGGUAAAGGAAGGUUGGAGAUGCACUCACUCCCCUUGCAAAGAGAGAGAAGAAGCAUUGAUUCCCGUUUUUGCAAAUAAAGUUUGAAGACAGGGUAGAUACACUCAUUCCCCCUGGAAACAGUGAAAAUGCAUUCAUUCAUCUUACUAGAUUUACAGGAAGGAAGAUAUCCUCUUCGUUAUUACUGAGAUUUUGCCAAGGGAAGAUUCCCUUUGCAAAGAUUUUGCAGGGGGUGGAUGCAUGCAUGCUCCCCAACUCUCCCCAACAGCUGCAUUUUCACACAGCAGCAACGUAUGGACAGUUUUGGGAUCUGCUCCCAGGGGCUGCUGGUGGGCGAUGCCUCGUGCCCCGCCACCUGCAAUGGCUGCAAAAUGCUGCAGAAGGCCAAACCCACACAAAACUGCAUUUUCAAGAGGAUUAACUCUUCAGUGGUGCAUAAAGGAAAAAUGAAGUUGCUUACUGAAUCAUCCGUGCCGCAUCUUGGAGCACAAUUUGGAGACCAGAAGCAAAACAGAGGCAGGAAAACGCUUUCAGAUUGGCGCCACGAUGCCCGCGCAAUGCCGGGCUUUGCAAAAGCCCGCAGCAGCUUUCUUCCCAUAAUAUCCCACGCUGGUGAUGUCCUGCUGCAUUUUGAGGCACUUUGUCCUAACUCUGAUAGAAGUCAGCCCUGGAAAUGGAAAGAUUUGUUUGCAGGAAUGCAGGGACCCUGUUCAUCUGGAGGUUCCAGGAUGUAAUCUUAAAGAUGUGAUUAAAAGAAUGCUGGCUGCUCGA